AUUGCACAGGCCGGUCUUGAACUGUUGAGCUCAAGUGAUCUGCCUGCCUCAGCCUUCCAGAGUGCUAGGAUUACAGGUGUGAGCCACUGCACCCAGCUCACCCAGCAUUUUUACUUUUGGAGUUUAUAAUAUACUGUGUACAUGUGGAAUUUAACCUAUAGAUAUACUUGCAUAUGUGCAAAAUAGUAUACAAAAUUAACCAUGGAAGCAUUGUUUUUUACAGCAGAAAAUUAAAAUAGCUUAUAUGUCCAUCCAUAGACAAACUGUCAAAUAAAUUAGUGUAUAUCCAGAUAAUGAAAUCCUACAUAGAAUGAGGAAGGUCUGCCUGUACUGGUAUGGAAAGAUCUCCAAGACACACAUUUGUUUUAAAAAAAAUCAAAGUGCAGAGCGGUGUGUAGCAUACUACAAUGUGUGUUUUUGAAAAAAUAAAGGCAGGAUGAGAAUUGCUUGAAUGUAAAAAAAAUCCUCUGGAAUCCUAUAUUAGUUAUUCCUUCCCACUAAUGUCUAAACUGACCUAAAAAUAAAAAACUUUUGUUCCUCCCUCUCCCCCUCCUUCCUUCUCUUUCUCCUCCUCCCAUCCUUCACCCCACACGAAGGCAUUCAUUGAAAAGGGUUCCCUUCCUCACUGGAAUAAACCUGCCACUCAGCCUCAAGGCUGCUUCCAGAGAUGUCUUCAAGUAACAAGGAGACUGUGACAGGUGCAAAAAAAAACAAAAAAAAAACCACAGUCACAAUGUCAGGAUAACUUUCCAGACUCCAAGUUCCAGUGAGGCUAAACUAAAAGAGGACAGUGAUGUGACUUCUUGGUCAGAAGUAAAAUUUGAAGCAAAAACGCUCUUUAACAGUUUCCUGGGAGCAAAAGUUAAAAAGGAACAAACAGAAUUCCCGUGAAGGAGUUUCCUGGUUUGUUCCUGUGGAAAAUGUGGAGUUUGGAUCAAAGAAGGAAAACGUGCCCAAGAUGUGUGGCCCUGGUGUCUCCUGGUUUGAACCAUUAACCAAGACCAAGCCCUGGAGGGAGCCACUGCGGGAGCAGAACUGGCAGGGGCAGCACCUGGACGGUUGGGGCUCCCUGGCAGGCCCAGGCAGAGAGGAUGGCAGAGAUGCACUGAAGCCAUUUGUAAGAGCACCCCUGCAGGUGCAGUGACACUGACUUAACUUUAGCCCUACGUGUAGGGAGAAGAAGGGCAAGGCACAGGGAACCUCCUUCUGUGACUUGGCGAGCUGAGGUGUAGGCCUGAGACCCUCUUUUCCAGCACCUCUAUGGUUCACCUAUUUUCAUGCAUGAGAGCUGUGUUUCUCAUCAUUCAUCAAAGGCUGCCUUACUCUUAACCAUUCUAGAUGGUGCAACAGCUGACUCAGGAUCUGGGAUCAAGGUCACAGGAGGGAGGAUUUGCAGCUCUGCUCAUCAGGUUUGUGGGUCCCUGUGUGUGGAGGUCCAGAGGCCUGAGGCUUGUGUGGCCUCAUGCAUAUUCCUCCAAUUCCACAACUCCUAUUGCUGCUCCAUGCGGGAUUUAAAGGAAACCAAGUAUCUUCUUAUAUUUCCCUUGGGGGAUAAAAGAAAUGUUACUUAAUGAUGUAUUUGUUUGAGUAGGUCUUUAAAAUAACACCAUGGGCAAAGCUGUAUCAUAUUGACAUUUGGGAGAGUAAUUGCCACAGUCUUCGCGUAACCACCCAAGGGGUUCACCUUGCCCGCUGCCUAGACAGAGCCAAUUCAUCAAGACAGAGGAAUUGCAAUAGAGAAAGAGUAAUUCACACAGAGCUGCCCAUGCAGGAGACUGGAGUUUUAUUAUUACUCAAAUCAGUCUCCCCCAGCAUUCGGGGAACAGAGUUUUUAAGGAUAACUUGAUGGGUGGAAGCCAGUGAGCCAGGAGUGCUGACUGGUCAAGGAUGAAUUCAUAGUGAGUCGAAGCUGACUUCUUGUGCUGAGACAGUUCCUGGGUGGGGGCCACAAGAUCAGAUGAGCCAGUUUAUUGAUCUGGGUGGUGCCAGCUGAUCCAUCAAAUGCAGGGUCUGAGAAAUAUCUCAAGCACUGAUCUUAGGAGAAGUUUAGGGAAGGUCAGAAUCUCAUAGCCUCCAGCUGCAUGACUCCUAAAUCACAAUUUCUAAUAUUGUGGCUAAUGUUAGUCCUACAAAGGCAGUCUAGUCCCCAUGCAAGAAGGAGGUCUGCUUUAGGAAAGGGCUGUUACUGUCUUUGUUUAAACUAUAAACUAUAAGCUAAGUUUUUACCAAAGUUAAUUCAGCCUAUGCCCAGGAAUGAACAAGGACAGCUUGGAGGUUAGAAACAAGAUGGAGUCAGUUAAGUUAGAUCUCUUUCACUGUCUCAGUCAUAAUUUUGCAAAGGUGGUUUUAUUAGUUCCUUGCAUAUGCUGAAGGCAUGUCUUUGAUCCCUAUGUGUUCCCUGCUGGAGCUCUCCCCCACAGAGAGGGGUCUGAGGAUUCUUCAACUCUAGGCAUUUUCUCAGUAUUUGAAUCAGGCUUUUCCAAAUCGCUUGGACAGGUGGUGUUUUUCUAGGCAUCUGGAGAGUAGGCUGUAUCAUUAAUGUGAGGUCCAGCCUUUUUCUCCUCCUCAGGAAUCACUUCAGCUUCACAGACCUGCCUUCAUCUCCUGCCCUGGGGAGCAGAUAAAGCGCCAGAAGUUAAUAGUCCAGGAGAGGAAGCUGCAGAGCAUGUUGCAGAGAGAUAAUCAACUAAGAGCCAGGCACCCUUUUAAGUCCGUUGAGUAACAUUUUAUAACCUGCUCUCUCUGAAGUCUGCUCUCUGAGACACAGAAACAUUCCAAGCCUGUGGUAAGUUCUCUCACCCUAAAACCCUUAAAUACCCUCAGUCUGUAAGGGAGAGUGCUCCUGACCAAAAUUGGUCAAAGCUUCUCUCAGCUUUAUUCUUCAACAUACACCUGUCUUUGAUGGUUGAGCCACUUUUCAUGUUUCUUUCCUCUUUUUUUAACUCUUACACUUGGUGCCAAAACCUGGGAUGGGUGUUGUGGGUAGAGGCUGUCUUGCAACCCAGGAGGCAGUGGGCAGCAGCAGCUCAUCCUGCUGGAUCCUGAGUGUCUGGCCACUCACUACCCCAUGUUGUCUCUCACUUCAUUUUUCAAGCAAUUUGCAUGAGGAGGACAACUAACCUGAAGGGGACUGCAAGGCUUGGGCUGGGGCUACUCCCCAGGAGGUUCUCAAAACCCUCAGGUCUCAGGAAUCCAUCUCCAACCACCCACAAUGGGGAGUAUUUUGCUCUCUAACCCUUGUCCCCUCCUCCUCCCUCAUCCUCCCUUCUCUCUCUGUCUUCCUCGUGUGGCUCCCAUCCAAAAGGCCCUUUGCCAAUUCCAACUGAACAUCCAACAUCAGACAUUAAUCCAGCCAACUGGUAAGAUCUGCCCUUCCCUGACCUUCUUGCAGUACCCAGGAAAGUCAGGUCUGACAUCCCAGUUCUCGGAGGACCAAUGGGACUAAGCUAGAAGAAAUCUUGGGGACACCCAGUUUCUUCUCAGCUUGACCAUCCUCUUCAUGAAAAGGAUUCUAGGUCUCUGUCUUUUGUCUGGAAAUGCCUAGAACAAAACAGACACCCUUGGUUUUCUCUUACCAGUCCACAUGAGUGCCAGACAGUCCCAGAUUCCUACUGGCCUGUCUCUUUCACAACCUCACCAAACUUGGCUUAUGGGAAGCAUAAAGCCAAAGUGUUUUUGUUUUUUUUUUUUUUUUUUUUAAUUGAAACAUGGUCUGGCCCCAACAUAAAUUAGAUAAUGACAAGCAAUGGCCCACAAAUGACGCCUUUGACUUUCAGAUUCUCAGGGAACUUGAUAACUUUAUAACCAGGAAUGGCAAAUGGUGAGAGCUUCUUUAUAUUCAGGCUUUCUUCUACCUUAGAUCCUGACCCUUCCUGUGUCAAGCUUGCACCCCGUCAUGAAUCCUUCUUAUUAAUGAAAAUCCUCCCGGGUCUCUCCUUCCUCCAAAACUCCUUCCUUCUAAACCCCUUCCUCCGAAACCCCUUUUGACCCUACAGGUGAACCCUGUCCAUAUUCUCAUCCCCCUGCAUCCGCUCCUUGCCUGGCCAAACCUUCAGCCCUGGUGGCCCCUCCUGCCCCCAAGCGUUCUGCCCUAAACCCUGCUCCUCCUCCAUUUCCACUUGUUAGCCAUUCAAAAACUACUCUAACCAGUCAAAUCACCUCUGCCAUUCUCCCUCUCCAGGAAGUGGCUGGGGUUGAAGGCAUUGCUCGAGUUCUUGUCCCUUUCUCCAUGUCUGAUUUGUCACAAAUCAAACAGCAUCUGGAUCUUUCUCUGAAGAUCCAUCUCAUUGUCGCAGGGAAUUCAUACACAUAACCCAGUCCUUUAAUUUAACUUGGCAUGAUAUUCAUAUAAUUCUAGCCUCCACUCUCACCCCUGAUAAAAAGCACCCAGCUUAAUU